rnacentral:rRNA from 1 species
GAUGAACGCUGGCGGCGUGCCUAAUACAUGCAAGUCGAGCGAACAGACGAGGAGCUUGCUCCUCUGACGUUAGCGGCGGACGGGUGAGUAACACGUGGAUAACCUACCUAUAAGACUGGGAUAACUUCGUGAAACCGGAGCUAAUACCGGAUAAUAUAUUGAACCGCAUGGUUCAAUAGUGAAAGACGGUUUUGCUGUCACUUAUAGAUGGAUCCGCGCCGCAUUAGCUAGUUGGUAAGGUAACGGCUUACCAAGGCAACGAUGCGUAGCCGACCUGAGAGGGUGAUCGGCCACACUGGAACUGAGACACGGUCCAGACUCCUACGGGAGGCAGCAGUAGGGAAUCUUCCGCAAUGGGCGAAAGCCUGACGGAGCAACGCCGCGUGAGUGAUGAAGGUCUUCGGAUCGUAAAACUCUGUUAUUAGGGAAGAACAAAUGUGUAAGUAACUAUGCACGUCUUGACGGUACCUAAUCAGAAAGCCACGGCUAACUACGUG